GCCGAGGUGGCGAAACGGCAGACGCAGUGGACUCAAAAUCCACCGUGGGCAACCACAUGCGGGUUCAAGUCCCGCCCUCGGCACCA
rnacentral:tRNA from 2 species